UACGUAGGGGGCAAGCGUUGUCCGGAAUCAUUGAGCGUAAAGCGCGUGUAGGCGGCUCGAUAAGUCUGCUGUGAAAGUCCAAGGCUCAACCUUGGGAUGCCGGUGGAUACUGUCGAGCUCGAGUCCGGAAGAGGAGUGUGGAAUUCCUGGUGUAGCGGUGAAAUGCGCAGAUAUCGGGAGGAACACCGGUGGCGAAGGCGGUUCUCUGGGCCUGACCUGACGCUGAGGAGCGAAAGCGUGGGGAGCGAACAGG
rnacentral:rRNA from 1 species